rnacentral:lncRNA from 1 species
UCAGGAUUGGCAGGCAGGUGAUGUAAUGGGGUGGAUCACAUCUGGAAACACAGAGAUGAAGAGGGGAAAGAGACUGAAAGAGCAGAUAAAAGGAAAAGUACUCAAACAGUGCUGUGUUGUUUCAAGAGCGGAGAUCAGGAGCCUUGGGAAGUAUCACUCAUCUCAACUCUGAAGUCCCAACGGCCAUAACUGCCACCAAUCUCUCAUACCACCGGGACUUGGGCAUGUGAUCCAGGCUUGGCCAAUCUAAUGGGCCACUCUAGACUUGCAACAUGGCACUAGGGCUACAAAGAAGCUAUUCUGAAGCUUUUAUCUGACUAUGGACGCAUCCAGUGUGUGCCACAUCCAGGGUAGUGGCAAGGGUCUCACUGGGGCGGACUGUGCUGUUAGAAGCUACUUAGCCUCACUUAUUCUUACUUAGCCUCACUGUAUUCUCC